CACAAAAGUGCAGCUCGGUCAGUGAGCGCAGGAGAGCGGGUGUCAUCAGCAGAGCCAGGGCUCUGGUUUCACGUAAGCAGGAUGGUCAUUUUGCUGGUCGAGAAUCUACUCUUUCUGAAGCCAAUGGUCAUCCAGCAAACAAGAAACCUCCAACAGCGAAGGUGCCUCUCAGAUGAAGGAUUAAUGAUGUGAGGAAGCAUGACAGAUGUUGUCAUCGCUGAAUAACUGUAUGGGAAUACCAUGGCUCAUCUAUCCACUCACCUACUGACUGAAGGACAUGUUGGUUAGUUCCAAUGUUUGGUAAUUUGAAUAAAGCUGAUGAAAUAUGCCUGUGCAGGUUUUCAUAUGGACCUGCCUGCUGAUUUUUCAGUCCUCACCCAUACAGGGGCAGUCUAAUGAGAGCUGACUUAUGGACACUAUUCAUUCUGGAAAGCAGAAGAUAUUCACUCUGGGGCCUUUUCCCCUCAAAGCUCCUUAUUACCUAUUUGGCUCUCAGCUAUCAUUUCUGAUUGACAGAUAACUUCUGCAGAUGUAUU